CUCCCUAGGACCAAGGUCACUGCAGUAUUGGAUAGGACCUGAGGGAGUUAGCAGGGGGCUCAUGGUUAAGAGUGUGAACUACGGCUUAGGCCUACAGGGUUCCCUGCCCAGCUCCUCCACAAACCAGCUGUGCAACCCUAGACAAGUGAGGUCCAGAGAUAUAUCCAGAGAGGAGUGGAAGGGCUCGGAGACCUACAGCCCCAAUACUGCAUAUGGUGUGGACUUCCUGGUGCCCGUGAUGGGCUACAUCUGCCGCAUCUGCCACAAGUUCUAUCACAGCAACUCAGGGGCACAGCUCUCCCACUGCAAGUCCCUGGGCCACUUUGAGAACCUGCAGAAAUACAAGGCGGCCAAGAACCCCAGCCCCACCACCCGACCUGUGAGCCGCCGGUGCGCAAUCAACGCCCGGAACGCUUUGACAGCCCUGUUCACCUCCAGCGGCCGCCCACCCUCCCAGCCCAACACCCAGGACAAAACACCCAGCAAGGUGACGGCUCGACCCUCCCAGCCCCCACUACCUCGGCGCUCAACCCGCCUCAAAACCUGAUAGAGGGACCUUCCUGUCCCCGGCCUGCCUGGGUCCAGAUCUGCUAAUGCUUUUUAGGAGUCUGCCUGGAAACUUUGACAUGGUUCAUGUUUUUACUCAAAAUCCAAUAAAACAAGGUAGUUUGGCUGUG
rnacentral:sRNA from 1 species